AUUGAACGCUGGCGGCAUGCUUUACACAUGCAAGUCGAACGGUAACAGGUUAAGCUGACGAGUGGCGAACGGGUGAGUAAUGCAUCGGAACGUGCCCGGUCGUGGGGGAUAACGCAGCGAAAGCUGCGCUAAUACCGCAUACGAUCUGAGGAUGAAAGCGGGGGACCGUAAGGCCUCGCGCGAUCGGAGCGGCCGAUGUCAGAUUAGGUAGUUGGUGGGGUAAAGGCUCACCAAGCCGACGAUCUGUAGCGGGUCUGAGAGGACGACCAGCCACACUGGGACUGAGACACGGCCCAGACUCCUACGGGAGGCAGCAGUGGGGAAUUUGGGACAAUGGGCGCAAGCCUGAUCCAGCAAUGCCGCGUGCAGGAAGAAGGCCUUCGGGUUGUAAACUGCUUUUGUACGGAGCGAAAAGGCUCUCUCUAAUACAGGGGGCUCAUGACGGUACCGUAAGAAUAAGCACCGGCUAACUACGUGCCAGCCGCCGCGGUAAUAC
rnacentral:rRNA from 1 species